rnacentral:rRNA from 1 species
ACUCCUACGGGAGGCAGCAGUGGGGAAUAUUGCACAAUGGGCGCAAGCCUGAUGCAGCCAUGCCGCGUGUGUGAAGAAGGCCUUCGGGUUGUAAAGCACUUUCAGUCGUGAGGAAGGUAGUGUAGUUAAUAGCUGCAUUAUUUGACGUUAGCGACAGAAGAAGCACCGGCUAACUCCGUGCCAGCAGCCGCGGUAAUACGGAGGGUGCGAGCGUUAAUCGGAAUUACUGGGCGUAAAGCGCAUGCAGGUGGUUUGUUAAGUCAGAUGUGAAAGCCCGGGGCUCAACCUCGGAAUAGCAUUUGAAACUGGCAGACUAGAGUACUGUAGAGGGGGGUAGAAUUUCAGGUGUAGCGGUGAAAUGCGUAGAGAUCUGAAGGAAUACCGGUGGCGAAAGGCGGCCCCCUGGACAGAUACUGACACUCAGAUGCGAAAAGCGUGGGGAGCAAACAGGAUUAGAUACCCUGGUAGGAUAGCG